CAGCAACUGUAGUGACACACAUCAUCAAUAGCAUAUAUGGGCAGGGUAUCUUGAAUGCCUGAAAGUGUCAAGGAUGGAUGGUUACAGAAAUUUCAAUUUGGGAACAGGACCUUCAUGGAUAUGCUGACCUAUUGUGCUGGAGAGCUUUUGUUGAGGGGAAUCCAGAGACAACAGUCAAGAAGUUGGCUGCAAUUAUUCAUUCAUCCCAUUCAAUUAUUCACAGGCAUCUACAGGGCCUUCAUUAUUUGUUGGUGGAUAUUCAUGAGCUCACACCACAAAUCUGUGACGACACAUGAACAUUUGUACUUUUUUGCUCUCCCAUGAAAAGAUGGAGCCAUUUUUGUAAAGAAUGGUUAUAGAAGAUGAAAAAUGAAUUCUGUAGCACAACAUUAAGUGCAGAUGU
rnacentral:lncRNA from 1 species